GCUCUGUAUUCUGUGGGACAGCUUGCCUCCGAUAGGAGUAGUUCACAGAGAUGAGCACCCUCUUCUCCCUUCUCUUUCCCCGGUGGAUUUGUCUUUCCUUCUUUCCCACCGUUGUCAAGGAAAUGUAGAAAGGAUGGAGGAGGUAUUAUUCAUGUACACUAAGAGUUUAUGAUUUUGAUGAAAAGCCGUGAACUGAACUGAAACAAGGCCUUGUGAAAGCAGUGUCAAAUCUCUUCUCUGGAAAUGUUGUCCAUCUUUGGUGCAGAGAGAGAUAAACAAAGGGUGCUUGCAGCCAGCCAGACUCUGUAUGAUUUCGUAUACAUAUAUGUCUCUUCCACCAAUACAAUAUUUCGAAUCCUCAAUCAGCACCUUGGCACCAGCUUCCCCAUCAUUAUCGUGAAGGAAAACCUUAGCAUUAAGGAGAACCUUCAGCUCCUGGUCAGUACUCUGAAAGAGAUGCAGUCUGUUGUGGAAAUGAAAGACAAAGAUGUGCAGCAGAGCAUCAGCCACCGUUUAUAUGCUAAGAUUGCUGGGCCCAUCACUUCUGUGCAAGAGAAGAUUACUGUUGUGAAGGACCUUUAUGAAAAUUAUAAGGGAGUCCUAGGAAGUAUCAGUGGUCCAAUCGCUGCCGUGCUACUGAAACACAGCAAUCUCCCUGAGAUUGUAGAGUCUGCCAUUCAUCGUCUAUUGACUUCCCCUGCCCUGUCCCUCCAAGUGGCUGACCUUCUCAUGGGCCACAAUGAAAUUGCCAAAAUAUUCCCAACUGUCACUGAGAACAGCCCUUCAGGGAGUAGGAUUCAAGAAGCUAGACCUCGCAGUCCAUCAAUUGCCUUCUCAUUUUCCAAUUUCUUGCAGGCUGUCCUUUGGGGACAGGCUUCUACAAACACCCUGAAAAUAGCUGCAGACUAUCUGGAGGAGGCUGUCAGAGUGCUGAGACCAUCUUGUGAAUCUUUCCAGUGCAUUGUUAAACUGGCUGAGGUCUAUAUCUCACUGAUAACAGACAAGUUGCAAUGAUCAAUACGGCAAUUGUUCGUGUGUUAGCAAUAUGCUUCUGUUCCUUCUUUUCUUACAACAAGGGAAGUUGCACAAAGGAACAAGAGAAGGUUGCGGCUAAUUGCUGAUUCCACAAUAAUUUCUGCAAUCACUUUUAGUGUCUAGAUUUGAGCAUUGCACUAAGGCGUCAAGGUGAAGUCUUCUUGCUUUGUUAAUUUAAAAACUUGAUAAAUAAAAAUCAACAGGAAACUAAUGUAAA